AAACAACAUGAUUAAAUAGGGCAUAUUGGCACAGAAAGCCAUUGUCAGCAACUGCUCUCAAAUAUUAAAGGAUACCUGAUGUCUUGUCAAACUGGAUGGAG